rnacentral:lncRNA from 1 species
UUAGUCCUACCCUUUCUCUAACAGGUUCAUCUUUGGAAGACUACAGAAUUGAGCCUGCAAUUAGAAAUUUAACUGUAGAAAGGAGUAAGUCCAGAGAGACCAGUAGAUUAACGCACCCACCAGUCACUACACCCAAAAUAAGGAUUCAAUGAAAAGAGAAAGGACAUCCUGGCCCAACAAUGCUUGAGUGUUUUAUUGCUUCAACUGAACUGGCUUCUCAAAGAGCAAUUGGCCAACAAGUGGUGGGAAUGGCUUCUUUUUCUUCUCUACAGGAGUCACCUUUUAGGAUGGAACAACAACUCUAGGAGGGCUUAAUUGUAAGCAUGACUGAUUGUGGGAUUUGGAUGGAACUGCUACCAUAAGACUUGUAAAAUUUAAAAUUAAAUCUCAAUAAUAAAAACAUUAUAUUUU